UCUUGAGAUGCAAGCCAGCUAUACGUUUUAGAUGUUAGAUGCUUUUAUUUCCUUUUAUGUGUUUGGGAAUUGUUGCCAAUACUAGCAAUAAUCGUAUGUGGCCAUGUUCCUCAUCGCUUUCUCUUCGCAGUUAGAAAGCCAUAUAUUAAAGCACAAUUCAGUAUUUGACAAAUGCUCCUAAAUAGAUGUUUGUUCUUCAUAUCUGAAUUUGAGAUUCUAAAAUUUAUUUGUCAAAAUUGAAAAUAACCUUUAUGUCUUCUUUGGGAAGAGGGGAAAGGGUGGAAAAGAGAGCUUGGGAAGCAGAGUUGUUUCUCCUGUUUGGAAGAGCUAUGGAAAUCCUAAGGAAUGGGGUUUUAAGAGUGGAAUUGUCCAUUGGGGCCUACUAUUUCUUUGUCCUGCAUUUUGGGUGAAAGGUGGUGGAAACAAUUUUUUUUCUUUCGUAAAUUACAACUGCUAUCGUAAUUGACUUUUUACCCAGAAAUCUUAUUUGCAAACUUCAAAAUCAUAUCUUCUUGUGAUAAGGGCAUAAAAGUAAUUUACUUUUUAAACUAUUCUUCCCCUCCAUUUUUUCAUUCUUCCAAAAAAAAAAAAGUUUUCUCUACUAUUUCUUUCCUCACCCUUUCAUCAUUCCCAAACAAGACUAGAGAAAAAAUUUUUUUUCCAUUCCCCCCAUAUUCUUUUCCCUAUUUUUCUUUUGCCUCCUUUAUCUUUCUCCACUCUACUUUUUCCCAAGCAAAGAGCUAGUGAAGAACAUUGACACUUCAUGGAUUUCUUUAGAUUUAAAUUUUGCUUGGUAAUCCUUGACUGCCUUUUUUAAUGUUAAUUUGUUGUUAAUGUUAGGGUUAGCGUUAGGGUUACAGUUUUAUCAUUUUUUUAGAAACCUUUUAAGGCCCAUGACUUUGAUCUGAUCCUUUUGUUCUUUGGGUUUCAAUUUUUGAGUGCAUUAUGCUCAGGAUGAAGUACUGAUAUGAGAUAGAAAGCACUAUGCAAUGUCCAGUUGGCAUAAGUCUAGAAAAGUCCAGUUGUACUUAUAUAGGAUAGACAUGGGCACGUUUCGAUUCUAGACCGGAAUUGCCAGUUCGGACUGGUUCUGUUCAAUAUAGUUCCAAUUUGGCCUGGGUAUUAUCAAAUUAGAAUAAAUUUUUAGAUAUCGUUUAUUUAGUUUCUAAUAUUAUAAAAAAAAAUAAAAAUAAAGGGACCCAAAUAUGAAUCCAAUUUAAAUCUUAAAAAAAAAGAAAAAUAAAUAAAAUUUUGGAACGGGCCAGUUCUGGUUUGUCGGUUCGAACUGGCAGUCUCAGGCCGAUUACGGUUCAGGUUCAAGGAGGGGUGAAUUGAAACCAGCCCCCCCAUACCCUUGUUUCAGGUCCAUUCAUGAAGCGGAACUGUUUACCCAGUCCGGUUUAUGGUUCAAACUGGCUUGUGGCCUGGUCUAAUAUAGGGGUUGUUCACUGGUCAAGCUUAAAAAGCUUGAGUUUGGCUUAUAAAUUGAUCAAUAGAUUCAAGCACUGAAGCUGGGUUAAGCCUGAGUAAAUUUGCACCGGCUCUUUUCCAGUCUCUUUUUUGUAGAGCUAAUAAAGAUGGAUGUAGUAAAUUCAAUUUGCAUAUUUUUUUUUAGUUGUUGGUAGCGUAGUACUUUUAAGUAGUUUGUGCUUAGUCAGUCCUAAGCCCGGAUAAAGGAUAAGGGUUGCGGUAGGUGACAACCA
rnacentral:misc_RNA from 1 species